AGAUGCCCAGAGGGCUGAUUAAUUUCCUGCCAGGGCUGGCCCAAACCAUCUGGGAGUCAGAGGGCUUUAUCUAAGGGAGUAACCUGGCUGGGAGGCGGGUUUGAAUCCCAGCUCCACCGCUAACCCUCUGACACGGAGCAAGCGAUUCCACCUCCCUGAGUGAGCCUCGGUUUCUCCAUCUGAGAAAUGGCGGGGAUAAAUGGGGAAAUGCCCAGAGGUGUCUGGCAUGUUAAAUAUUCAGUUAAGUUCAAGGACGAGGACACCCGUAUUCCAGAGGGAAAAUCUGAGGCUCAGGGAGGGAAUGGACUUGCCCAAGGUCACAUAGAGGGCCUAGAACCCAGGUUCCUCCCUUCUCGCUCAGUACCCUUCAUGGAGCAACCUCUCUGCCUCGUCUCUUUUCUUGCUUCCUGAGUUCUGAGACCAGUGUAACCAAGUAAUCAGUUCCUCCCAAACUGCAAAGGGAGAAACUGAGCCACAGAGCCAACUGAGGUCCCCUGAUGGUCAAAGACGCAUACAAAGCAAAGGCCCACGCAUUGACAAUGUAAGGGCCAGGAGAAAAUGAAGGCAAAAUGAAAAUGAAGGCAAAACUCAGGCAAAAUGACCACCCCGGAGUCAGAGCAGAAAUGAACUCCUGGCAUUUUUCUAUGAGAGAAACUUUCUUUGUAUUUAUGAGAAAGAACGUGCUCUGUACUUUCCUCUCAAGUUUGCUGUGAACCUUUACCUGCUCUAAAAAAUAAAGUCUAUUAAGAAAACCAAAGAGCAAGGUGUAACUAGUCUGGUUUGAGCCAGCCGUUUGGAACCAGGGCUACACUAGGUCACCUGAGGCCCAGCCAGUGCAGGGCCCAGCACGGCACCCCACCACAGGUGGGAGCUUGACCAGUGGGGGCUGUGUUGUCACACGAGUGUCCUUCACAGCAUCUGACCCUGGUCCCAACACACUGCGUCUCCAGCAGGCUUCCUCGCUUCUGGAAAACACGCUGGGAACCCACUCCGUGCACGUGCCCCGCACCUGCUAGGGGCUCAAUGAGUUGUGUUGAGUGAACAUGGGUUUAACGCGUGUGUGUACGUCGCUAGUUCUGCUAGCAGGUUUUCAGUGUGAAUUCUCGCAGGCACUGCUCUCAGGAAAGGCUGUGCCUCAGAAGGAAGGCAGGAGCACACAUAGCCACCCAUCAGCCUUGGAAGUCGCCACGACAGGUCCCCCCACCUGCCCUCCCCGUGUGGCU